UUAAAUUGAAGAGUUUGAUCAUGGCUCAGAUUGAACGCUGGCGGCAGGCCUAACACAUGCAAGUCGAACGGUAACAGGAAACAGCUUGCUGUUUCGCUGACGAGUGGCGGACGGGUGAGUAAUGUCUGGGAAACUGCCUGAUGGAGGGGAAUAACUACUGGAAACGGUAGCUAAUACCGCAUAACGUCGCAAGACCAAAGAGGGGGACCUUCGGGCCUCUUGCCAUCGGAUGUGCCCAGAUGGGAUUAGCUAGUAGGUGGGGUA
rnacentral:rRNA from 1 species